rnacentral:lncRNA from 1 species
GGCAAAAUGGUCUGGUGGACCCUUAUACUUGUAUGUGUUUGUAUUGUGAACCCUUCUACUUGUCUAUUUGUCAUCUGAACCCCUGAACUUAUUGAAACACAAUAUUUUAAACACUAUUUCUGACUUGGCAUCCUAUGUGGCAUCUAAUACCAGAGUGCGUGUAAAACACACCUAUUAGGAGCGUGAGACCCUUGAAAAAGGGUCUAAAAGUCACAUUAGGACUUUGUAAAGCCAUCAUCUUCCUCUUUGCGUCUAACACCAUUGUUGGAUAGAAUUUGAGGUUUUCUUGGCCUCUUUUCCGAUCUUUUUCCCAAAAAUUUCUUCUCUAUCGUUUCUUGUUAUUAUACGACUCUUUUUUUUUAUUUUAUGAAAAAUCGCCAUGGAAGGCAUACAACUACUACCAAAGCAUCUUACACUAACAUUAGGCACAAAAAUGCAAAAUCCCCAAAAAAUUUCAACAAAAUCAAUGUAAUUGAUUAAAACCCCAAAACCAAACAAAGACACAAAUAGAUCAAAUCCAAACUAAACAACAAAUAAAUUCGAAAAUAAAUUGAAAAACCUACCAAGAUAAGUUGAAAAUCAAACAAAAAAAACUCAAUAAUUUUUUACAUUGACCCCUUGUUUUAGUUCCAAACCAAACCCAAACUUAUUGCCUUCUUCUUGUCCUCCUCACCUUCUCCGACCAAACUGCCUUCGUUCUCACCAUUUCCGACAAGCUUCAACCAACAACUAUAAAUGAGAACCAACAACAACAACAACAAAAACCCCAAACUAACUCCGCCAAUAAGUCUCGACUUUCACAACGCCCCAGUUGUGAACAACUAGAAACAAUCAGACCAUCCAAUAGAUCCCCACUUUUCCUUAGCGCCACCGGUCACCACCAAACCCUAAUCGAACAGAACUCAAAAUCGACUCCGAACUUCGAUGAGAUUGUGAACAACCAGAAAUCGUGCCAAUAUUUUUUACUUCAAUAAAAAGAGUAGAAGAGGUUGGAAAAUGGAAAAAGGAAAAGGGUAAGGAAGAUAAGAAAAAGUUGAAAUGAGAUUGUGUGAUGGAGAUGCAGAUGGCUAUGGCAAAGAGAUAAAAAUUGGAAAGAAAAAGUGUAGGUAUAUUAAUCAAUUAUAAUAAAAGGAAAAAUGACAUGGAG